ACGAAUUAUAUUGGAGUUGUGCUGGUUCUUACAAGUGCACACUCCUUACAAUUCCAUUCACACCCUUGUGCACCUUAAGAGACGCAUUUCCCCCGUUUACGUGCCUUUAUUGGCUUGGGAUUUCGUCUAUUAAACACACUCUUAUUGUAAUAGAAUGUAAUCUGACCGAAAGGUCUAAAACUUAAAUA
rnacentral:misc_RNA from 1 species